UUUUCCCUCCCCCCUCCCCGAGCACGAUGCCGCGCAGGAAUGUGAAAGGCUCCCGCCCGCCGCCAUUUUCUUUCUUUCUUGGCAGGCAGCGAGCGGGGCAGGAAGCGGUGGCUGAGCGAGCAUGGCGGACUAUUCCACGGUGCCCCCUCCUGCUUCGGGCGCGCCCGGGGGAGGCGGCGGCGGAGGUGGAGGAGUGAACGAUGCCUUUAAAGACGCGCUGCAGAGGGCUAGGCAGAUUGCAGCAAAAAUUGGAGGAGAUGCUGGCACAUCAAUGAAUUCAAAUGACUAUGGUUACGGAGGACAAAAAAGACCUCUUGAGGACGGAGAUGGCUCUUGGACAAGUCCGAGCAGUACAACACACUGGGAGGGAAUGCCCUCUCCUUUUAAAGAUCAACCAGAUGCUAAGAAAGUUGCUCCUCAGAAUGACUCUUUUGGAAAUCAACUACCACCAAUGCAUCAACAACAGAGGUCUGUGAUGACAGAGGAGUACAAAGUUCCAGAUGGAAUGGUUGGAUUCAUAAUUGGCAGAGGUGGAGAGCAGAUCUCGCGCAUACAGCAAGAGUCUGGAUGUAAAAUACAGAUCGCGCCUGAUAGUGGAGGCCUGCCUGAAAGAUCUUGUAUGCUAACUGGAACACCAGAGUCUGUACAGUCAGCAAAAAGAUUACUUGAUCAGAUAGUUGAAAAGGGAAGACCUGCACCUGGCUUUCAUCAUGGUGAUGGACCUGGAAAUGCAGUCCAAGAAAUUAUGAUUCCAGCAAGUAAAGCAGGAUUAGUUAUUGGAAAAGGUGGAGAGACAAUUAAACAAUUACAGGAGCGAGCAGGUGUUAAAAUGGUCAUGAUUCAAGAUGGUCCACAGAACACUGGUGCAGACAAGCCCCUUAGGAUAACUGGAGACCCUUAUAAAGUUCAACAAGCCAAGGAAAUGGUGCUGGAGUUAAUUCGUGAUCAAGGUGGCUUUAGAGAGGUGCGCAACGAAUAUGGGUCAAGAAUAGGAGGAAAUGAAGGGAUAGACGUUCCAAUACCACGGUUUGCUGUAGGUAUUGUAAUUGGAAGAAAUGGAGAGAUGAUAAAAAAGAUACAGAAUGACGCUGGUGUUAGGAUCCAGUUUAAGCCAGAUGAUGGAACAACUCCAGAUAGAAUAGCCCAGAUCACGGGCCCUCCAGAUAGAUGUCAACAUGCUGCAGAAAUUAUUACAGAUCUCCUUCGAAGUGUUCAGGCUGGUAACCCUGGUGGACCAGGACCUGGUGGUCGAGGAAGGGGUAGAGGUCAAGGCAACUGGAACAUGGGGCCUCCUGGUGGACUACAGGAAUUCAAUUUUAUUGUUCCCACUGGCAAAACUGGAUUAAUCAUUGGCAAAGGUGGUGAAACUAUCAAAAGUAUAAGCCAGCAGUCUGGUGCUAGAAUAGAACUUCAGAGAAAUCCUCCACCUAAUGCAGAUCCAAACAUGAAGAUGUUUACUAUCCGUGGAACACCCCAGCAAAUAGAUUAUGCACGACAACUUAUAGAAGAAAAGAUUGGAGGUCCAGUUAAUCCACUGGGUCCGCCAGUUCCCCAUGGACCCCAUGGUGUUGUUCCUGGGCCACACGGACCUCCUGGUCCCCCAGGUCCUGGUGCUCCUAUGGGACCAUAUAACCCUGCUCCUUACAAUCCAGGGCCUCCUGGACCUGCACCUCAUGGUCCUCCAGCCCCAUAUGCUCCACAAGGAUGGGGAAAUGCUUAUCCACACUGGCAGCCACCAAAUCCGCCAGAUCCAGGUAAGCCAGGAACAGAUCCUAAUUCAGCUGCAUGGGCAGCUUACUAUGCUCAUUACUAUCAGCAACAAGCACAGCCACCGCCUGCAGCUCCUCCUGGUGGACCAGCUACAACCCAAACUAAUGGACAAGGAGAUCAGCCAAAUCCAGCACCAGCAGGGCAGGUCGACUAUACCAAGGCAUGGGAAGAGUACUACAAAAAAAUGGGUCAAGCAGUUCCUGCGCCUGCUGGGGCUCCGCCAGGUGGUCAACCAGAUUAUAGUGCAGCAUGGGCUGAGUACUACAGACAACAGGCAGCAUAUUACGCCCAGACGAGCCCACAGGGAAUGCCACAACAUCCUCCAGCACCACAGUGCCUUCCCAGACCUUCCACCUUAGGUUCUGCUGCAAAAAAGCAACAGGUAAGCACAACCUAAGGAAGUAUAUAAAUUAAUAUAUUUCAGUACAUUAAUGUUGUCCCUGUGAGAUCUUUGUGGUUGUGUAUUGAAAAGCAAUCAGCUGCUUUCCCCAAAUGCAUUGUUACUCACGGUUCCAUUUCAGUGGAAAGUCUUUUAAGUUUUUAAACAACUGUUUAUAUUUCUAGGUAAAUAUGUAUCUUUUUUUAGAAAAGACGAGUAGAUUGCCGUAAUUGAACUUAAUCAAAAUAAGUCAUUUUUGUUACUUUUUCUCAAAUAGCUAAUUGUUGCAAUUAAAGAAUCAAAACUGUUAAAAAUAUGCAGGAAUUACUUUGGUUAGAAACGUCAACAGCCUUCACAAAUGUGUUUUUAUAAUAGGGCACUAUUCCCACUCAACAAGUAAGACCGAAGUAUAAAGAAUAUAACUUGUUGUUAUCACUGAACUUGAUAACUUAUCUUACAGUUAUAGUGUGUUAGUGGAAUCUUUAGAUAAUUUAGUUUGUUUAUUCAUACUUGACAUGGUAGGAAAAUAGACUCUAGAACUUUGCAGAUGAGUAUGUUUUAUUUGAAAAAGCAUGUGCACCAAUUAAAUGUUAACAGUACAGCAAAUAAUAUUUUAUCUAUAUAGCAGUCAGUGUUUCCUGUUUCUUGAUAUUUUAACUGAAUUGCUGUAUAUUUUGCCAGUUUAAAAUGUUUGUAUGUCUUAUAGAUGGUCUGGUACAGUUUUUUCUUUUUUUUUUUUUUUUUUUUUUUUUUUUUUUUUAAGCUUAAAGUAAAGCAGCAUCUAUUCAGUCUUUUUUGUUGAUUAUUCUGUUUCUAAAAUAUGCUGCUCCUCUUUCAAAAGUCCUGCUUAUCUGUACAUGAAAGAAAAAUAUUCAAAAAUACUGCCUUCAUUUUCACACACAGUGCUGAAGAUGCUGCAAGCACCAAAUCAUAGCUCAUAGAAUCAGGUCCUGAGAUAGUUACUACCAAUAAAGAGGAAUCCUUUGAGUGUAUGCCAUUGGUGAGCCGAUGAGCAUGGACCAUAGAAGGGCUCCAUGUAGAAGGUAAAAUUGGCAAAAACAUAACAGAUUUGAAAUGUAUCCCAUACAUACUGGUGUAGGGUAUAAUUUUUGUUUUGAUCACUUUUCAUUCUUUAAAGUACUAUUUGUUUGACCAUAAAUGUUCCAUAAUCUGUUAAGUUUUUUAACUGUGAUUUAAUAAUAUAAACCAUCUAUUCUAAUUUAUAUUCUUCUAAACAGUCAAGCUAGAUAUAUUGACUUUUUGAACUAAAUUAAUAGUUGUACUUCGGUUUCUCAAGCCACGUCAUAUUUGAUGAUUUGUAGCUUAAUGUGUAAUUCAGAUUCAUUUUUGACAAGAGAAAGUUAGAUGUUUACCAUUUGGAUUUUGAUACCGUGAAUUUAGUGUUGGGGUGAGUCAUUUGUUCACUUCUCUUUACAUGCUGCUUUUUCUACAACUGUUGUUCCUAAAAUAUCUUAACAGCCUUUUAAUUGUAAAUUUAGCCAGUGGGAGGAAAUAGAGAGGAAAAAGCUAGUUUAUUAGAAUACUGCUAGAGUGUGGAAGAUGAGAUGAACUUGCCUUAGUGUGUAGCAUUUGAGGUAUACUGACUUUCAGCUUGCUCACUGCUGGGUUUACAGGCAUGCUAUGUUGUACUAAGCGUAGUGUUUAUUUUUUCAACUCUGUCCCCAGACUCGCAGUUCUUGGGAGAACAGAAAAUAUGUUACUGGAGUUACCCUGAUCCAAUAAGAUAACUGGACUUUCUUGGAAGUGUAAUGAACUUGCCCAAAGGUGUCUUUAAAUGUUUCCUGCUUUUCUUCCCUAGAGUCCCACAAAUUAAGUAGAAUGCGAAGAGUACCAAAACUUUAAAAAGGAAGCAUAAUGCUCAAAGUAGGAAAAGCAUUUUCAUACCCCUUUCUGCAGCAUAUACUUUAAGACAGGACAUGAAAUAAAAUACCAGGUGGAUAAUCUUUUAUCUAGCAUGAUCAUAUGCCAUGUAUUUAAGUUGUUCAGGCAGACAGUAUCAUUAUUCACUGCCCAGUCUCUCUUGAAAUAUUUCAUCUUUUUACUAGUGGUAUUUUAUUGGAUGAUAGAAACUGUUUCUCCCCUGUUCGCUUCCACAGUAGCUUUUAAGUUUUUCAUUGCAUGCUAAAAGCUUUUUAUUUUGCUUUUUUCUGGACAUGGUGGGAGGAAGGGGGGACUGGGCCUUUCAGAAAGCAUACAGUUGACAGGAUUCCCUCUUCCCUAGUAAUAGCUUAUAAAACUCUUGUGUAUGCACAAAUAUUUCUCUUGCGUGCAUGUGAAAUGCAUUUUCGUCCUGAGAAAAGUGUUCUCUGCAGAAACUACCCGUGUGUAAAAAGAAGAUUGGCUUUAAAAGGCAACUGUGAUGGGAACAGUGUCUUAGGGAGAUGCAGCUUGGACUUGAGGCAUUUAAUUAUCAGUGAAGAAAGGGAAGUGAGAUAUGCCAAACUCUUCACUGUGGCUUGUCUCCAGUAGACACUAUCUGCUAAGAGAAGCCUGUGAUUUGCAAACUGCAAUCAAGAAUAAAAGAAUCAUCCUUAGAAAACAUCUCAGAUUAUUUUCUUUGUUAAUGGAGGAAAUUGACUGAACUGCUGAGGUAUUGAUAUUCCAGAUUUCUGCAUACUGCAAGCAGCCAUGGGACUGGUAUGUUGAGCACAUAGUUGAGGGAAUUACAGAAACCAUGUAUUUGGAAUUCACAGGGGGAGAAGUCGUCAUUAAAAGAAUUGAACUGCUGAACUGUUCCUUUAAGAAAAGUUUUUAACUUCAAACUGUGACAGCCACUGAUACCAGCUGAAACUGCAUGAUAUAAAAAGACUGGAGGAGGGGGUCUUGGUUUUGUUUUUUAUAUACAGAAUUCAUAAAUUCAGCUUUCACUCUUCUAUAUUACUUGGUGAAUAAAUACAUAUACAUGAGGGUGGGAGAUGAGAACAAAACUUCAAUUAGAAUUCCAAAGUUUUCUCCUUCCUUUUCUUCCCUCUUUACUAGUACCCUUUCUUUCUCCCCCUUCCCUUCUCCCCCUCACCCUGAAGGGGGAGGGAAGAAAAAAAAAAAAAGAUUAUUGACAUAAUGUUAAGGUUAUUGGUUUGGAAAGGUUAAGUGGUUUACCAAAAAAAAAAAAAAGUUAUAAUAAUAAAAUUUUGGCACCUACCUAAACUUAGAACCCUCCCAGUUUGGAUCUGUUGAGAAUCUCAGCGUUUCAGCUUUCUGGGGGUUCUGGGCUUUUUGGGAGUAGGAUUUUUUUUGUUGAUUUUUGUUUGUUUCUUAGAAUAUUAAAUUUUUGUUAAGGCUGUUGUAAUAUACAGCCAUCUCUAGUGUGAUCUUGAGCUGUUUGCUCAGGAAUGUUCAUUCAUAAAUAAGUUACUCUUUUUAAAAUUAAAUUUUAACAAAUUCCUAGAAAUGGUAUCUUUAAAGAUUUCAUGAGACAUGGAAAUCCAAAACUCAUUGAUCUUUCUUGUAUGUGAAAAAACAAUGUCAUAAUGAUUAGGACUGUACAGGGAAAAGACAUUUAAAUAGAGAACUUUGAAAGAAUAUUUCUGGAAAUAGCUUAGUUCUGUUUCUCAGUUUGUUUUAAUCAUAUUCGAUCUGGUGCAUCUUACGCUAAUAUUAAUACUAAGUAUAUGAUUCGUCUAACAUGAUCGAGCAAACUAUAAAGAGGUACAUUUAUAGUUGACCUAAAAUAAGUGUGGCUUCUGAUAAAGAACAUAUGCAGGCAGUUUUGCAUGUAAUACAAAGCAAGAUGAGUUCCUUUUCUGAUAAUUUGGGGCCUAGUCUAGUAAUUUCUACUAUGUAGUUAUUGAUACUACUGCAUACAAAAGAGCUGACAUAUCUAUCUUUUUUGUAAGAGGAAAGUUGUAAUUGAUGUAUUUAUGUAUCAUAUUUAUAAAAUAAAUAUGGGAAUAAGAAGUAGCAUUCUGUUAUUACAGAAUGUCUUCACCACAAACAAGUUACUGAAACAUCUGAAGUACUAUUUAAGAGCAAAACAGACAACUUUUCUUCUGCAAGACCUUUAUUUUAAGGUACUACACAGUGUAUAUAUUAACUGGUAAGAUUGCUGGCAAAUUUAAAAAUAUAAGUUUUCUGGUUUUACUAGAAGAUUGUCUGAAGAAUUAUGCCAGUAUAGUUAUGAAAUUAGAACUAAGUUCAAAAACAUGUAUUUUAAAAUUAGUGAUGAUACAAUUUUCAAACUCCUUGACAGAUUGAAAUAAUUAAUAAUAAGAAUAAUCAGAUAGAGGAAAGAAUGUGAAGGUAUAUCCUAUGUAAAAUUCUGUAACAACAUGAACAAAACAACUAUUUACCAUUUGCUGUCUAGCUUCUUCAAAGGCACGUUUUUCCUCUUCUAAACGCUGUCUUGCUUCUUCCUCUGCUUGCCGCCUUUGAUUUUCCUGUCUUUGUCUUUCAAGUUCUUCAAAUGUUACUUUCAGCUUACCAGGAGAAAGAGGCUCUUGUGUUUCAUUUUCUGUGUUUUCAGCCUGUGUAAGAAAAAUGAAAUAGUUAUAUUUUAAAUAGUAGAUCUUCAUUUCUUAGCAAUUUUUAGAUGAGUGGUUUACCAUGACAAAGGAAAGGCACUUGGCUUCUUUAAGGGAUUGUUUGUGUUUGUCAUAUUUUAGCUUCUUUUCUUCAUCCUCUCUCUGUGUUUGUUCUGCUCUUUCUUUUCCUGUGUUCUCAAAGUUUAUUUUCAUUUUUCCAGGUGUUUUGGUGGGUUUUACAGGCACUACUGUAACCAGCAGUGAAUCAUCCCCUUCCUGUCCAAAAAGAUUAUAUAUAUUAUGAUAUUUUGAUAAUUCUUGACUUCUAGACAGACUCAUUUCUAAUGAAAUUGCCAUUUUUACCUGUGUGCACCAAAGCUUCCAACAGAAUUACUUGUAUUGAGUAUUAACGACAAGAAUAAAACUCAUCCGCCUGUGACAGUCA